UUCUUGCUUGUAGCCACCCCCAAUCCCCAGUGGCUUUAAUUACUGGAGUAUUGUGUGUGCUGUUUUCCCCUCCCCCUAAUUAUUUUAAAAUAGUACCAGCAGCUCAGUGGCUUAACUGAAUGCUGUUUAGGUAUUUAUUUCCUUGUGUGCUCUCUCUCUCUCUCUCUCUCUCUCUCAUUGCUUUUAGCCAGCCUCCUUUAAUAACUGGGGUGCUGUGAUUCUCCCCCCCGCCACCAUUUUAUUUAAAUUGUACCAUCAGCCCCCAGGUUUUAACUGGAUGCUGCUUUGAAUUUUAUUCCUUGUUUGUUUGUUUUUCUCGUUGCUUGUAAUAACUGGGUCACUGUAUUUUUAUUCUGUUUUGCAGCCCUGCUGCCACCUUAGCUGCUGCUGUCUGUGGGCUGCCUGGUGGAUUAAUGUUUGGUUUUUGUAGGCUGGUGUGUGGUGCACUGCCUACACACCAAGAGUCUGCCUGACAGACUCCCUACCUUGCCGGGUGGUGAUGUUUUGAUUGGGUGGGUGGGUGCCUGACUGGUGCUCACCUACCCUCCCCUCAGCUAUCGAGUCCUGGUGUCUGCUUGGCCCAAGAGUGUCUCUGAGAGCAACACCUGGCAGUUUGCAGCCGAAGACACUGCUGGAAGCCCCCAGCCAAAGAUGCCAGAUAGAAGCAAAGAUUGCUGGAGAAAAAAAUAAGACAAUAAAUUAAAAAGUAGCUGAGGAGACAGAGAUGGCAAUUGCUGUUUUGAAAGAGACUUUGUGAAGCAUACUUUGUGGUCUGUCACAGUGACAGCCUCCCAAAUCGAUAGUAUCCUGUGGUCAGUGCUGAGUACCACAAUGCAAGAAAGUGGUUGACAAGUUGGAACAGAUUCAAAGGACAUCUAUAAGGCAACCCUAUAAGAGGAGAAUAAUCAUUCUUUUGUUGCAAAUGGGAGGUGAUCCAGAAAGAAAGUGGCUUGUCUAAGGCCACAUGUAGCCCGAUGAUCCUAUGUAUGUUGACUCAGAAUGAAGCCCCACU